rnacentral:rRNA from 1 species
UACGUAGGCAGCAAGCGUUGUUCGGAGUUACUGGGCGUAAAGGGUGUGUAGGCGGUUGUUUAAGUUUGGUGUGAAAUCUCCCGGCUCAACUGGGAGGGUGCGCCGAAUACUGAAUGACUAGAGUGCGGGAGAGGAAAGUGGAAUUCCUGGUGUAGCGGUGGAAUGCGUAGAUAUCAGGAGGAACACCGGUGGUGUAGACGGCUUUCUGGACCGUAACUGACGCUGAGACACGAAAGCGUGGGUAGCAAACAGG